CCGGCCCCGGUAGCCGCCGGAGCCAUCUUUAGUGAGGGCAGAGACCCGCCGUCACCGGCCUCCUUCCUGGGGCCUAGCAACGAGAAAAGCCCCGCCCUGCGGCGGGCUGGCAAUGGGGGCAGAGGGCGAGGAGAGCCCCAGCCCACCUCCAGGCUGCCCCUUACUGAGGGGGAAGGCUGGACUCUUCCCAUCCCCAAGCACCCUGAGGUCCAGAGACUGUUCCUGUAAGAGACAGACCCUGCCCCAAGGAGCUUACAACUUAAUUAGUAUCCAAGGUCAUCUUUAGGUGUAUCUUACAGCUAGAACUGCUAAAAGCAUGAAAACUACUGAAAUGUAGUAGUAUGUAGCUGUAAUCUAUCUCCAUCUUUAGAGAUGGGAACACAUCUCAGUGAAAAUUUAAGGCACUAUAUGCAUAAUCAUAUAAGUAAAGCCAA